GCUGGCGGCGUGCUUAACACAUGCAAGUCGAACGGAAAGGCCCUGCUUUUGUGGGGUGCUCGAGUGGCGAACGGGUGAGUAACACGUGAGUAACCUGCCCUUGACUUUGGGAUAACUUCAGGAAACUGGGGCUAAUACCGGAUAGGAGCUCCUGCUGCAUGGUGGGGGUUGGAAAGUUUCGGCGGUUGGGGAUGGACUCGCGGCUUAUCAGCUUGUUGGUGGGGUAGUGGCCUACCAAGGCUUUGACGGGUAGCCGGCCUGAGAGGGUGACCGGCCACAUUGGGACUGAGAUACGGCCCAGACUCCUACGGGAGGCAGCAGUGGGGAAUAUUGCACAAUGGGCGGAAGCCUGAUGCAGCAACGCCGCGUGCGGGAUGACGGCCUUCGGGUUGUAAACCGCUUUCGCCUGUGACGAAGCGUGAGUGACGGUAAUGGGUAAAGAAGCACCGGCUAACUACGUGCCAGCAGCCGCGGUGAUACGUAGGGUGCGAGCGUUGUCCGGAUUUAUUGGGCGUAAAGGGCUCGUAGGUGGUUGAUCGCGUCGGAAGUGUAAUCUUGGGGCUUAACCCUGAGCGUGCUUUCGAUACGGGUUGACUUGAGGAAGGUAGGGGAGAAUGGAAUUCCUGGUGGAGCGGUGGAAUGCGCAGAUAUCAGGAGGAACACCAGUGGCGAAGGCGGUUCUCUGGGCCUUUCCUGACGCUGAGGAGCGAAAGCGUGGGGAGCGAACAGGCUUAGAUACCCUGGUAGUCCACGCUGUAAACGGUGGGUACUAGGUGUGGGGUCCAUUCCACGGGUUCCGUGCCGUAGCUAACGCUUUAAGUACCCCGCCUGGGGAGUACGGCCGCAAGGCUAAAACUCAAAGGAAUUGACGGGGCCCCGCACAAGCGGCGGAGCAUGCGGAUUAAUUCGAUGCAACGCGUAGAACCUUACCUGGGUUUGACAUGGAUCGGGAGUGCUCAGAGAUGGGUGUGCCUCUUUUGGGGUCGGUUCACAGGUGGUGCAUGCCUGUCGUCAGCUCGUGUCGUGAGAUGUUGGGUUAAGUCCCGCAACGAGCGCAACCCUUGUUCACUGUUGCCAGCACGUUAUGGUGGGGACUCAGUGGAGACCGCCGGGGUCAACUCGGAGGAAGGUGGGGAUGACGUCAAGUCCUCAUGCCCCUUAUGUCUAGGGCUUCACGCAUGCUACAAUGGCUGGUACAGAGAGUGGCGAGCCUGUGAGGGUGAGCGAAUCUCGGAAAGCCGGUCUCAGUUCGGAUUGGGGUCUGCAACUCGACCUCAUGAAGUCGGAGUCGCUAGUAAUCGCAGAUCAGCAACGCUGCGGUGAAUACGUUCCCGGGGCUUGUACACACCGCCCGUCAAGUCAUGAAAGUUGGUAACACCCGAAGCCGGUGGCCUAACCGUUGUGGGGGAGCCGUCGAAGGUGGGACUGGUGAUUAGGACUAAGUCAUAACAAG
rnacentral:rRNA from 1 species